UGGCACACAAGCUAAGAAUGGGAUUUACAUAUUAAAUGGUUGGGGAGAAAUCAAAAGAAUAAUACAACUUUGCAACACAUAAAAAUUAUACGAUAUCCAAAUUUCUCUGUGCGUAAAGUUUGCUAGGAACAAAACCAUGCUCAUUCAGAUUCCAGAUGGACCCUAAGAGCUCAGUUACGGAAGUGGAAGGGGAAAAACAGCAGCAGCAGCAGCAACAACAACAACGACAACAACAACAACGACAACAACAAACCGAAGAGGAAAAGAGAGCUGAGUGGAAAAAGUCUUUGAAAAUUUAGUCCUAAAACUUAUAUUUACAUUCUCAUGCUCUCCUGAAGUCACAGAAAGAGGUUCGGAACUUCUGCUUUAAGAGGACAUUUGAAUCGACUGGAGAGGAACAAAGCAUUGAAGAGAGAGGAAGUGAACUCCUCAGAUAAAGCUCUAAUAUGAGAAACAUAGUUCCAGAGAGAAGUUAAUGUUACUUCAUUUUUCUGUCUCAUUUCCUUCAAGCUCAAAGCAUGAGU
rnacentral:lncRNA from 1 species